GUCGAUGUGUUAUGUGUAAGGAUCGAUCUUAUAUGUAGCGAAAUAAGUCACUUGAUGGCACUUGUAUCAUUAUAUAUACUGUGGCAUACACGUGAUACACAAGUGAUACACAUUAUCCACAUUUGGCAUUGUUUAUUGUAUACCCUAUGCAUCGUUGUACAUACAAUUUACACACGAUAUACAACAUCCAAUAAUUAUGUAUACAAGUGUAUGCUUGUGUGUAUACCAUGUACAUGUCAAUGCAUGUUAGACGUAUUUCAAGUAAGUAUACAUGUUUUGAAAUAAACAAACUCUUGCUAAUAUUGAAAAAUUUAACUUUUGUACGUUAUCAUCUGUUGUUAGGGGCAUUCAUUAGUAAUAAGUGGCUUUAUUUGCUGAUAAACAUUUUCAAUCAAAUUGACUAUUAAAAGAGGAUCAUACGAUAAAGAAGCAAACUUACAAAUAUGUUACAUCCAAACCCACCAAACAAAAAAUAAAUUAUACCAAAGCUAUAUGUAAAAUUUGGCACAUAAAACAAACUCAUAUAGUAGUAACUUUU
rnacentral:lncRNA from 1 species